rnacentral:rRNA from 1 species
CACGUAGGGGGCAAGCGUUGUCCGGAUUUAUUGGGCGUAAAGAGCUCGUAGGUGGUUCGGUAAGUCAGGUGUGAAACCUCCAGGCUCAACCUGGAGACGCCACUUGAUACUGCUGUGACUGGAGUCCGGUAGGGGAGCGUGGAAUUCCUGGUGUAGCGGUGAAAUGCGAAGAUAUCAGGAGGAACACCAGCGGCGAAGGCGGCGCUCUGGGACGGUACUGACGCUGAGACGCGAAAGCGUGGGGAGCGAACAGG